rnacentral:rRNA from 1 species
CCUACGGGUGGCAGCAGUGAGGAAUAUUGGUCAAUGGACGAGAGUCUGAACCAGCCAAGUAGCGUGAAGGAUGACUGCCCUAUGGGUUGUAAACUUCUUUUAUCUGGGAAUAACACAGGGUAUGCAUACCCUCUUGUAUGUACCAUAUGAAUAAGGAUCGGGUAACUCCGUGCCAGCAGCCGCGGUAAUACGGAGGAUCGGAGCGUUAUCCGGGUUUAUUGGGUUUAAAGGGAGCGUAGGUGGAUUUUUAAGUCAGUUGUGAAAGUUUGGGGCUCAACCGUAAGAUUGCAGUUGAGACUGGCAGUCUUGAGUGCAGUAGAGGUGUGCGGAAUGCGUGGUGUAGCGGUGAAAUGCUUAGAUAUCACGAAGAACUCCGAUUGCGAAGGCAGCUCACUGGACUGCAACUGACACUGAUGCUCGAAAGUGUGGGUAUCAAACAGGAUUAGAUACCCGGGUAGUC